UGCCCUCCAGAUUGGAUGACAGAGUGAGACUCUAUCUCAAAAGAAAAAAAAAAAAAAAAAGAAAAUCCAUUCAGAGAUGAAUUGGCUUCUUUGUUACAGGCUGUGUUGGCCCUGCCUCUGAGGUCAGUGCAUGCAGAAAGCCCUCACUGCUGUGGUGUGGGAGGGUAAUGAGUACAGAUGUUGAGGGCAGGAGGUGGGCAAGCAGUCAUUAACAUACAGGGUAUCAUACUAUAUAUCAAGAUAUAUACCCCCAGCCUGGGCAACAUGGCAAAACCCCAUCUCUACAAUAAAAGUAAAUACAAAAAUUAGACAGGCAUGGAGGUGUGCACCUGUGGGCCCAGCUACUCAGGAGGCUGAGGUGAGAGGAUCGCUUGAGCCCAAAAGCUUGAGGCUGCAGUGAGCUGAGAUCAUGCCAUUGCACUUCCACCUAGGCAACAGAGCAAAACCCUGUCUCAAAAAAAGAUAAAAAAAAGACAUAUCCCUGCUACCUGUGCCUGCAUAUGGAUAGGAAAUAUAUGUGCCCCAUGUAUGAGUGCACAUAUGCAUCCUUUGUGGGUGCCCCCAUGUGUGUCUGUCCCAAAUGCAUGUGUCCCUAUACCUGUGCAUCUUCAGGCCUGCAUGUGUAUAUGAACCUAUACACACAUGCACCUACAUAUGGUGCUGCCGAAGACAUCACGUGCAUUUGGUAUGUGCCUUUGGUAAGCACCAAAUCAGUGCUUCAUGCAAAUCCCUGUGCCUCACGUCUUCAGCCUUUGCCUAUCAAACUGGGCUCCAGUGCACUUAGGAAGACCCACCAGAAGGUCUGUCUUAACCCUUCUUCCAGUUCUCAUAUUGGCAGCUCCCUUGGUCCUGUUCACUUAUUGCCUUUUCCUGCCAUCAGCCCCGCCCAUUUGGCCUCCUUCUACUCAGGGAACUAGACAUUCCUCUUUGUUAUGGUCUUGCUACAUUCAGGUCCUGGCCUGCUUUUAGAGCUAUGGAGAGACACCAAGUGUGUGGACAGGGUAAUCUCUGCUUCUGCUACUGUGGAGAAGAAAACCCCUCCACUAGCUCCCAGUAGCUCAGGGAUAAGCAUGUAGUAGGUGCUCGAUAAAUGUACCCUGGCCAACCGCCCAAGGCUGGAAUCCUCUCAAGAGCCUUCCUGGUAACACCCCCACACCCCCAAAAAAAGCCUAGUUGUGGGAUUAGCGCAAUCAUAGGAAGCUCAUUUCAAUCCUUUUCUGUUUUAAAUGUUAGAAAUAUCCUCCUUCCAUUGACUCACAUUGUGGCUUCUAGCAGCCUUACCGACAAGCCUUGGUUCUGCCUUCCAGAGCCCUGCACAUCAGAUCCCCCAGCUGCAGCCUCUGCAUUUCUCUCCUUGGACAUCUGUCCACUCAGCAGCCUACCUAUGGCUGUUACCUAUGAUUCUGUCUCAGUUAUGUCCUCUGUCUGCCUG